rnacentral:tRNA from 1 species
CCCUGGUAUCUCAAACGGUAAAGAAAUCUGCCUGCAAUGCAGGAGACCCAGGUUUAAUCCCUGGGUCAGGAA